rnacentral:rRNA from 1 species
GCCUCCACCCACGCCGGCGUCGGCGGGCGUAUUUCGCCUCACAGUAGGUCGCCGCGACCCGUUGCUUUUGGGGACGUCGAAGGCCCGGACGGAUUGGUACCCUACCGGCUGGGGAUGCGGCUUCGGCUUCUCCUCUUGUCCGGUGGGCGAAACCGCCGGUGUCCUGGCUGCCCUGCGACGGUCGUAGAGACGAGCCCUCCCCUUCGGGGGGGCGGCUCUCGCGGCGUGCAAAAGGUCGGUGAUCCACCCGACCCGUCUUGAAACACGGACCAAGGAGUCUAACAUGUGUGCGAGUCAGUGGGCGCACUAAACCCAGAGGCGUAAUGAAAGUGACACGGGCUCGGCUGUCGCCUCGUGUGGCAGCCGGACUCAGGGCCGAUCCCUCACCGGUUGUCCUCGCCUCUCUCCCGCGUCUCGGUAAGCCGGGUGAGCUAUUUUCCCCGGCCGCUGCUGCGGGGCUCGGGGGGAGGCGGGGUGCGAUGGUGUCUGUAAAAAAGAGCCUGCUGUUGCAGGGGGGCGCAGGCCCGGGACUUGCCAGGACGCCGCGAGACUGUCACUUUGCUGUGAGGCUCUCGGGCCGAUCAGCGGGUCAUGCGUGCAGUCGGCAAGUACCAUGAGCAGACAUGUUGGGACCCGAAAGAUGGUGAACUAUGCCUGGCCAGGAUGAAGCCAGAGGAAACUCUGGUGGAGGUCCGUAGCGAUUCUGACGUGCAA